AGAAGUAUGCCAUAAAAAAGUUCACUGAAAAAUUAGACAUCAGAACAAAAUAGCUGUUGAUUUCACAUUCUCAUCUUCUUGAGAGAGACACAACAUAUUUGAAAGUUGUAAGUGAGGAUGAACUUGCUAAAUUGAAGCCCGCCAAUAUACAAUCUAUAAGUGAUUGGAUGGACUUUGUGAAAGAAAAGAAAAGUGCAAAAUUCAAGGCAACAAGUAAAAAGUUCAAGUCCAUGAAGAAAAGGCCACUUCCACAUACAUAUAGUUGCAAGGGUUAUGCUUGAUUGGCAGAAGAAAUGGUAUUAAUUAUUGUGACUAUAUUCAUUAUUUUAAUUUUUUACUAAAUGAAUAUCCAUAUGUUAUUGUUAAGUAAAAGAGUAGUUUAGGCUCAACUUCAGUGACUAGAGUUGCACUAUGGAUCAAGGUACAUAGAAAAAUGGAUUGUAAUCCCGUUAACUCACAAGUUGCAGAAAUAAUGGUAUGGUUAC